rnacentral:rRNA from 1 species
UACGUAGGGUGCAAGCGUUGUCCGGAAUUAUUGGGCGUAAAGAGCUCGUAGGCGGUCUGUUACGUCGGCUGUGAAAACCUGGGGCUCAACCCCGGGCCUGCAUCCGAUACUGGCGGGCUCGAGGCAGGCAGGGGAGAGUGGAAUUCCUGGUGUAGCGGUGAAAUGCGCAGAUAUCAGGAGGAACACCGGUGGCGAAGGCGGCUCUCUGGGCCUGUCCUGACGCUCAGGCGCGAAAGCUAGGGGAGCAAACAGG